CCUGAAGGUGGGGUUCGGGGAAGGCCAGCCCGCGGUCACGCCGGCUGUGGGAAGGGAAAGUGGGCUCCCCGGGCUACUGUUUCCGGGUGCUCGGGGCGUGGGUCGAGCGGGGAUCGGACCGGGGAUCAGGAGGGCUUCCGGAAGCGCCGUGGGCGCUCCGCGGGCGGGAGUUGAGGACCAGGCCGGCCGCGCGGCCGACUCGCCCCGCGGAGGCCCCGCCGCGAGCGCGCGUCUGGGGGUUUCCAUGGUGACAGUAAACAAGCCUCAACUGCCUCAGCUACAACUGCCAAGUCCCCGGGGUUCCACCCUCCUCUAGGUACUCUGAGGGCCGGCGAGGUUCCGGAUGUGAGUGGGAGCGUGGAGACAAGGAGCCCGAGCAGCGUCAUACCUGAAUGGAUCAGAGAGGAGCUUCAGCCUGACUCCCUGGAGUUGUUAUGCUAUCAGCCUGCCUUCUGCAUGGAAGGAGCUGGGUCCUGGUCACACGCAUAGAAUGACACCCUGGAUACACAGCAUAAGUCUGGGUACAGAAAGUCUCAUGUAGUCAGGCUGAAGAUGACUUUGAACUUCUGACGUUCCUUGAUUUCAAGUGGUAAGAUUACAGGACAUCACGUAAGAAGAAUCUUUUGUGUAGUGCAGCCAAGAACCAGUCAAGCCAUAUUCAAUACUGGCUCUUUUCUUUACUGUGGAGAAGUGUUCUUUGUUGAGGAUCAGGAAUCUGUGCGGAAGAAGAGGCAGAAAGAGUGUAAGAGCAGGAAGCGGUGGACUACAAGGAAACAGCCUUCUAGGAAUAACAAGAUGGAGGCAAACAGGAACUCACAAACUGCAGUAGCAGGGUCAAGCCCAGCACUGAAAAGGGGAAGUGGAUGCAAAGCUCCACCCCUACCCAAGAUUCUGUUUUCAAUUGGUUCCUGCUAGGAACAGGAAACUCAGUUUUCUCCAAUGGAAUGUCAUAU